GGCUCGCAGUGACAGGUCGAGUCGGCAAAAUACUUUUGUUUUUUUUUUUGCCGUAAACUGUAUCUCGCUGUCGACAUUAGCAGAGCGUAGAAGAGUGUCGAAAAAGCGGUCGUGCAACAAGGAAAUCAGAAUUUCGAAGAUUCCUGUGUCUUAUAACGUGCCUGCCCGCGGCUCGUAGAGAGACCACCUUCAAAAGAAACGAAAAGAAGAAGACCUGGGGCAGGCAGUUGAAAUUGUGAGCUGCGACCUAUUUUGAUUUAUUAAUAAAGGUUACAUAUUCGAAAAAAAAAAAUUAAUAAAGAGAGGUCUUUCAAAAUACCCUAGAAAAAUCCAGUUCCUUCACCCGAAGGUGACAUGAUGAAAUGUUUUGUGCAAACAAAAAUCCCGCAAAGGGUUUUACACAGUUCGAAAGGUAAAUAUACCAUUAUACAAGUGAAAGAUCAUUGGCCAGGGAUUCGGAGCACAUAGGCCGAUGUUCGGAGAAGGCGACGACGAACGUAAGAAACAAAAUAACAAAACCAAAACUAGGUUAACUUAAAAUAACUGUAAUUCAACAGGAAACGUUUAUAACAUACUCUAAUUAAAACGAAGUAAAAAGUAAAUAAAAAUAGAUGUAUUUUAAAUUCAA